GAUGAACGCUGGCGGCGUGCCUAAUACAUGCAAGUCGAGCGAACAGACGAGGAGCUUGCUCCUCUGACGUUAGCGGCGGACGGGUGAGUAACACGUGGAUAACCUACCUAUAAGACUGGGAUAAAUUCGGGAAACCGGAGCUAAUACCGGAUAAUAUAUUGAACCGCAUGGUUCAAUAGUGAAAGACGGUUUUGCUGUCACUUAUAGAUGGAUCCGCGCCGCAUUAGCUAGUUGGUAAGGUAACGGCUUACCAAGGCAACGAUGCGUAGCCGACCUGAGAGGGUGAUCGGCCACCCUGGAACUGAGACACGGUCCAGACUCCUACGGGAGGCAGCAGUAGGGAAUCUUCCGCAAUGGGCGAAAGCCUGACGGAGCAACGCCGCGUGAGUGAUGAAGGUCUUCGGAUCGUAAAACUCUGUUAUUAGGGAAGAACAAAUGUGUAAGUAACUAUGCACGUCUUGACGGUACCUAAUCAGAAAGCCACGGCUAACUACGUG
rnacentral:rRNA from 1 species